CCUACGGGCGGCAGCAGUGAGGAAUAUUGGUCAAUGGACGAGAGUCUGAACCAGCCAAGUAGCGUGAAGGAUGACUGCCCUAUGGGUUGUAAACUUCUUUUAUAUGGGAAUAAAAUGUUCCACGUGUGGGAGUUUGUAUGUACCAUAUGAAUAAGGAUCGGCUAACCCCGUGCCAGCAGCCGCGGUAAUACGGAGGAUCCGAGCGUUAUCCGGAUUUUUUGGGUUUAAGGGGAGCGUAGGUGGGAUGUUAAGUCAGUGGUGAAAGUUUGCGGCUCAACGGUAAAAUUGCAGUUGAAACUGGCAGUCUUGAGUACGGUAGAGGUGGGAGGAAUUCGUGGUGUAGCGGUGAAAUGCAUAGAUAUCACGAAGAACUCCGAUUGCGAAGGCAGCUCACUGGACUGCGACUGACACUGAGGCUCGAAAGUGUGGGUAUCAAACAGGAUUAGAUACCCCAGUAGUC
rnacentral:rRNA from 1 species